GUCAGGGGUGAGGGAGAGGAUGUCACAUCCUCUGCUAUCCUAGGAAAUUCCUCCCAGGAGGGGGCAGCGUUUGAGCGUGCAAGGGAAGGGUUUCAGGGGGAAGGUUCGGCUAGGAAUAGCUUUGUGCGUGAGGACAUGGCCGGUGGGGCGCGGCAAGAAGGUCCCUGUAGAGGCUCAGAGGGCCCAGCUUGCCAUCUUGGAGCACACCGGACUCCAGCCACUGCCUGGUGACAUGCCGAGGCAAGGUGGCUGGACCUGCGAGUCCCCAAGGUCCGUGUCCAGAGCAGGGCCCACUGGAGUCAGCCAAGGUGUGGCCCACGAGGGCUGGCAGCGUGGUCACCCCCAUCAACAGACAAGACCACAGACAGAUGCUACACUUGCAGCAGCCUUUACCUCACCCCUCCACGGAGUUGAUUAUAGAUUUCUUUACCCUGCUC